UGAGGAAUAUUGGUCAAUGGGCGCAAGCCUGAACCAGCCAUCCCGCGUGCAGGAAGACGGCCCUAUGGGUUGUAAACUGCUUUUCCAGGGAGAGAAACUCUCGUACGUGUACGGGAUUGACGGUACCCUGGGAAUAAGCAUCGGCUAACUCCGUGCCAGCAGCCGCGGUAAUACGGAGGAUGCAAGCGUUAUCCGGAUUCAUUGGGUUUAAAGGGUGCGUAGGCGGACUAUUAAGUCAGUGGUGAAAUCCUGCAGCUUAACUGCAGAACUGCCAUUGAUACUGAUAGACUUGAGUUUGGUUAAGGUAGGCGGAAUGUGUAAUGUAGCGGUGAAAUGCUUAGAUAUUACACAGAACACCAAUUGCGUAGGCAGCUUACUGAGCCGAUACUGACGCUGAGGCACGAAAGCGUGGGGAUCGAACAGG
rnacentral:rRNA from 1 species